rnacentral:rRNA from 1 species
GCAUAUCAAUAAGCGGAGGAAAAGAAACUAACAAGGAUUCCCCUAGUAGCGGCGAGCGAAGCGGGAAAAGCUCAAAUUUGUAAUCUGGCGCUUUCGGCGUCCGAGUUGUAAUCUCGAGAAGUGUUUUCCGCGUCAGACCGCACACAAGUCUCCUGGAACGGAGCGUCACAGUGGUGAGAACCCAGUACACGGUGCGGAUGCCUGAUGCUUUGUGAUACACUUUCGAAGAGUCGAGUUGUUUGGGAAUGCAGCUCAAAUUGGGUGGUAAAUUCCAUCUAAAGCUAAAUAUUGGCGAGAGACCGAUAGCGAACAAGUACCGUGAGGGAAAGAUGAAAAGCACUUUGGAAAGAGAGUUAACAGUACGUGAAAUUGUUGGAAGGGAAACGCUUGAAGUCAGACUUGCUAUUCGGAGCUUGCUUCGAUUCGCAGGCCCGCAUCAGUUUUCCGGGGCGGAAAAUCGUAAGGAGAAGGUAGCAGUUUCGGCUGUGUUAUAGCUCUUUACUGGAUUCGUCCUGGGGGACUGAGGAACGCAGCGUGCUUUUUGCAUGGGCUUCGGCCCAUCCACGCUUAGGAUGCGGGUGGAAUGGCUUUAAACGACCCGUCUUGAAACACGGACCAAGGAGUCUAACAUGCUUGCGAGUAUUUGGGUGUCAAACCUCGGAUGCGCAAUGAAAGUGAAUGGAGGUGGGAAGCGCAAGCUGCACCAUCGACCGAUCUGGAUUUUUUAAGAUGGAUUUGAGUAAGAGCAAGUAUGUUGGGACCCGAAAGAUGGUGAACUAUGCCUGAAUAGGGUGAAGCCAGAGGAAACUCUGGUGGAGGCUCGUAGCGGUUCUGACGUGCAAAUCGAUCGUCAAAUUUGGGUAUAGGGGCGAAAGACUAAUCGAACCAUCUAGUAGCUGGUUCCUGCCGAAGU